GGGGAGAUCUGCCUCAGUUAGGGCAGGGAGUGAACCAUGAUAUCCCCAGCUCAGCUCCUCUGCUUCCUGUCCCUCUGGAUCCCAGGUGCCAGUGGAGAAAUUGUGUUGACGCAGUCUCCAGCCUUGCUGUCUUUGUCUCCAGGAGAAAAAGCCACUCUCAACUGCAGAGCCAGUCAGAGUGCUAGCAGCUAUGUAGCCUGGUACCAGCAAAAACCUGGACAGGCUCCCAGGCUCCUCAUCUAUGGUGUAUCCAACAGGGCCACGGGCAUCCCAGCCCGGUUCAGCGGUAGUGGGUCUGGGACAGACUUCACCCUCACCAUCAGCAACCUGGAACGUGAAGAUGUUGCAAUUUAUUACUGUUAUCAGUAUAAUAGCGGGUACCCACAGUAA